AAAAGAUUAUAAAAAUUUAUACAUCAGCAUUGUAUGAGUAAGUCGGCGGUUCACUUCUUCACGGACUUAUCUUUUUCACGCAGCUAGAUACGCAUAUUAUUUGUCUAAUUUGGUGCUCUCAUUUGAUUGAAAAAGUUGUAUACUAUAUAACGUUAAGACAUUAAGAUGUCCAUCAUUUGAUCCAAAUACUUAGAGAUAUUAAGGAAAGAGCAAAAAUUAUUUGCUCAUUCUCACCUACCAGACGUGACAAAAAUUGAUUAGAUAUACCAAUGAACUUGUCGAAAUGUCCAAAAUUCCAUUUUGGUACACCACCUGAUACUAAAAGUACUAUAUUGUUCAACUGAAAACGUAAACCUAUUACUGGUCCCAUGGAGGUACACUGGAAACUGUUCUGAAAUGGUUCGCGUUCUUUAAAUCGUUGAAGAAUCGGAAGAGUAUCAUCUGUUUUCCAAGCCAGGUAUCCCAUGUGCGAUACAAGGUGGAGUUAUUGGACCACUAACCAGAUGUGAUGAUGUAUUAGUAUUAAGUAUUUAUUUAGAUAUAAGAUAGUUUUAGGAUGAAAAAAAUUUGAAUAAAAAAUUUUAUGUGAAA